AUUGAACGCUGGCGGCAUGCUUUACACAUGCAAGUCGAACGGUAACAGGCCUUCGGGCGCUGACGAGUGGCGAACGGGUGAGUAAUGCAUCGGAACGUGCCCAGUCGUGGGGGAUAACGCAGCGAAAGCUGUGCUAAUACCGCAUACGAUCUGCGGAUGAAAGCGGGGGACCUUCGGGCCUCGCGCGAUUGGAGCGGCCGAUGUCGGAUUAGGUAGUUGGUGGGGUAAAGGGUCACCAAGCCAACGAUCUGUAGCUGGUCUGAGAGGACGACCAGCCACACUGGGACUGAGACACGGCCCAGACUCCUACGGGAGGCAGCAGUGGGGAAUUUUGGACAAUGGGCGCAAGCCUGAUCCAGCAAUGCCGCGUGCAGGAAGAAGGCCUUCGGGUUGUAAACUGCUUUUGUACGGAGCGAAAAGGCUCCCUCUAAUACAGGGGGCUCAUGACGGUACCGUAAGAAUAAGCACCGGCUAACUACGUGCCAGCCGCCGCAGUAAAAC
rnacentral:rRNA from 1 species